rnacentral:rRNA from 1 species
CCCGCUGAACUUAAGCAUAUCAAUAAGCGGAGGAAAAGAAACCAACAGGGAUUGCCUUAGUAACGGCGAGUGAAGCGGCAAAAGCUCAAAUUUGAAAUCUGGCAGUAAUGUCCGAGUUGUAAUUUGAAGAAGGUAACUUUGGUGAUAGCUCUUGCAUAUGUUCCUUGGAACAGGACGUCAUAGAGGGUGAGAAUCCCGUAUAUGGUGAGAUGACAUAUUACUAUGUAAAGUGCCUUCGAAGAGUCGAGUUGUUUGGGAAUGCAGCUCCAAAUGGGUGGUAAAUUUCAUCUAAAGCUAAAUAUGGGCCGGAGACCGAUAGCGCACAAGUAGAGUGAUCGAAAGAUGAAAAGCACUUUGGAAAGAGAGUCAAACAGCACGUGAAAUUGUUGAAAGGGAAGCGCUUGCGAUCAGACUCGCCCGGGGAGGUUCAGCUGGCACUUGUGCCGGUGCAUUGCUACCCGGGCGGGCCAGCGUCGGUUUGGAUGGCCUGUCAAAGGCCCCCGGAAGGUAGCGCCCUUUGGGGCGUCUUAUAGCCGGGGGUGUCAUGCGGCCUGUCCGGACCGAGGAACGCGCCUUUGGGCUCGGACGCUGGCGUAAUGGUCGUAAGCGGCCCGUCUUGAAACACGG